rnacentral:rRNA from 1 species
GAUGAACGCUGACAGAAUGCUUAACACAUGCAAGUCUACUUGAACUUCGGUUUGGGUGGCGGACGGGUGAGUAACGCGUAAAGAACUUGCCUCACAGUUAGGGACAACAUUUGGAAACGAAUGCUAAUACCUGAUAUUAUGAUUUUAGGGCAUCCUAAGAUUAUGAAAGCUAUAUGCGCUGUGAGAGAGCUUUGCGUCCCAUUAGCUAGUUGGAGAGGUAACGGCUCACCAAGGCGAUGAUGGGUAGCCGGCCUGAGAGGGUGAACGGCCACAAGGGGACUGAGACACGGCCCUUACUCCUACGGGAGGCAGCAGUGGGGAAUAUUGGACAAUGGACCAAAAGUCUGAUCCAGCAAUUCUGUGUGCACGAUGACGUUUUUCGGAAUGUAAAGUGCUUUCAGUUGGGAAGAAAAAAAUGACGGUACCAACAGAAGAAGUGACGGCUAAAUACGUGCCAGCAGCCGCGGUAAUACGUAUGUCACAAGCGUUAUCCGGAUUUAUUGGGCGUAAAGCGCGUCUAGGUGGUUAUGUAAGUCUGAUGUGAAAAUGCAGGGCUCAACUCUGUAUUGCGUUGGAAACUGCACAACUAGAGUACUGGAGAGGUAAGCGGAACUACAAGUGUAGAGGUGAAAUUCGUAGAUAUUUGUAGGAAUGCCGAUGGGGAAGCCAGCUUACUGGACAGAUACUGACGCUAAAGCGCGAAAGCGUGGGUAGCAAACAGG